rnacentral:snRNA from 1 species
ACAUGUUAAGCAUGGAAGGGUGAUCUCUCACCCCAUUGGUCACCAGCAUUCAUUUGGAUUAUUUGGUUGGCCAGGCAGAUGUUCCCUGUCUUUCUCACUGCUCUCUACGUGUGCCUCCGCCCCAAAGCUGCAUACUUGGUUGAAUAGGACGGCCUGCCCCUUAGUGGAAGACCAUUCUCCAGGGAUGGGUAUUUGAGUAACUGUACUUUCCUACCAUAGCCUCUGAGAAAGCCCCCCUCAUUCAAAUGUUGAAGUGUCAUCCCCCAGUGAGAUGGUAUUAGGACACAGGGG